rnacentral:lncRNA from 1 species
AAUUCCCUUCCUACCUGCUUCCUAAAUCCAAUGAAUACUUCUUUAGUCAAAUGGGUCCAAUUUGGUGAGCUCACUUGUUUUUACUCCAACAAAUUCAAGUUCACCCACCAAAACUGUUGUGUGAGGAUUGGCACCAACAACUGUAUCAAAUAAACAAAUGGAGUAUUGUUGGAAGUGAAAGUCAAUAUCAACUGUUCAAAAUUGGUUCUAGUCUACCCAGAACCCAUUUGCAAAAAUAAUAAUAACUGACUUUCAAGAACUGGGGAUUAAAAGUAUAUGACAGGCUGUAUUUUUUUCCCCUACAAGUCGCAGUUAAUAAAGUAGGCGAAGAUUAAAGUUAGAAUUAUUUCAGCACUAAAAUCAUGGCCGUAAUUAGAAUUAUUUCAGCACUUUAACAAUAAAAUCAUGGCCGUAAAUGUUAGCUAGUGUAGUCAUGAAAGAAAAAGAAAAAGUAAAAGGUGAAUCAAAAGGGAAUAUGUGACACAAAUUGAGAAAGAGAAGAAAGAGAGAGAGCAAAAUGAUCAUACAAUUAAGUGAUAUGGAACCCGACUCAUACAGUCAGACCCAGUUGUGGAGGAUUUUAGUACAGAGGGAUCGGUUGAAUCUUGGGGAAUGUGGAAAGAGUGAUUCGCGCUAUACUUGUGCGUGCGCAGCUACUGCUUUUUUAUUUUAU